CCUCUCGAUCACUGGAAAUCCUGCCGCCGACGGGAGUCCAUUCUCCACCAAAAACAAACUAGUAACUCUGGCAACUCAAUAUAAAAGCGAAAGAUACGUUAAAAAUGAUACAAAUGAGAGACACUGCGCCUGCGGCCCAUGCAAUGCCCGGAGUCCGGAUGCCAAUAGUGAAGUGCUCAGCUCAUCAAAAUCAAUGAGAAGUGCCGGUGGUUAUCUUUGGUAGAAGUGAAGAUUAGCUUGCUAGACUUUCCGCUGGAAAAAUAGGUGGUGCUGGGUGGAUUGGUAUCAAAGAGGUAAAAUAAGAAUGUUAGUGUUGCAAAUAGGAGAUAAUUCUUU
rnacentral:lncRNA from 1 species